GAUGAACGCUGGCGGCGUGCUUAACACAUGCAAGUCGAACGGAAAGGCCCAAGCUUGCUUGGGUGCUCGAGUGGCGAACGGGUGAGUAACACGUGGGUGAUCUGCCCUGCACUUUGGGAUAAGCCUGGGAAACUGGGUCUAAUACCGGAUAGGACCAUCGUUUAGUGUCGGUGGUGGAAAGUUUUUCGGUGUAGGAUGAGCUCGCGGCCUAUCAGCUUGUUGGUGGGGUAAUGGCCUACCAAGGCGUCGACGGGUAGCCGGCCUGAGAGGGUGUACGGCCACAUUGGGACUGAGAUACGGCCCAGACUCCUACGGGAGGCAGCAGUGGGGAAUAUUGCACAAUGGGCGCAAGCCUGAUGCAGCGACGCCGCGUGGGGGAUGACGGCCUUCGGGUUGUAAACUCCUUUCGCCAAGGACGAAGCGUUUUGUGACGGUACUUGGAGAAGAAGCACCGGCUAACUACGUG
rnacentral:rRNA from 1 species